rnacentral:rRNA from 1 species
UACGUAGGGGGCAAGCGUUGUCCGGAUUUAUUGGGCGUAAAGAGCGUGUAGGCGGCCAUUCAGGUCAGCUGUGAAAACUCGAGGCUCAACCUCGAGACGUCGGUUGAAACCGUUUGGCUAGAGUCCGGAAGAGGAGGGUGGAAUUCCCGGUGUAGCGGUGAAAUGCGCAGAUAUCGGGAAGAACACCCGUGGCGAAGGCGGCUCUCUGGGACGGUACUGACGCUGAGACGCGAAAGCGUGGGGAGCGAACAGG